rnacentral:lncRNA from 10 species
CCUUCUGGCAGGCCUCCUCCAAUCAGAGGCCCUGCCCCACCCAGGGAGAAGCCCUGGGCCUUCCAGAAAGUUCCACAGCCUCUGAUUGGUCCUAGACCAGCUUUCCUGGGUGGGAGUGGGGGCAGGGGACUCCUGGAGUCCAUGCAGUAUGCAGAGGGCGGGGGCUUGGAGGAAAGUCGUUGAUGAUGAGCACUGCCUGUUGGGGCUAAGGGAGGUGGGGCCUUCCAGAAUUUAUGUCACCAUGUGAAGAAGAUCCUUGCUUCCCCUUCACCUUCUGCCAUGAUUUUAAGUUUCUUGAGGCCUCCCCAGCCAUGUGGAACGGUAAGAUGAAGUAAACACAUGGCAGCCUCUCUCUCCCACUGACGAUACAACCUUGAUAGAGGGCAUGGUGGAGCUAAUUGAAUGAUCCGAACAGUAAAUACCAGCAAGUAGAUGGGUGAAAACAGCCAGGAUUCCAAGUACCACAAAACUGGUGUUGAGUUGUGCACACUUUUUCCUCUGGAAUCUCUUGAGCAGAACUCAGCAUGACCUGAAACCCAGGAGUGAGCCGCACAGUGCCGACAAUGAGAUGCAGAAGAAAACCUCUGGUUCUGGCUGAAGCAGUGGACAAGGAGACUCUUGAAACUCAGAGCCUGGGGGCACCCCUGAUAGUGUUCUUUACUUUCUCUCCCUUCUCACAUUCCAGCCACCAGAGAAUGCAAGAGAGGAGUAGCAGUGGCAGUAAAUGUGGCAUCAACAACAACAACAAAAAGCAGGGACUAGGACUCUGAGGAAGGGAAGCCUAUAUUCUGGCCUCAGGGUGCUCUUUCUUCCUGCCUAGGGGUCAUAUACCACCUGUGGGCACCUCAGGACUCCUGACAACCUCACUUUUACCUGUUGCCUUUUUAGCCCAGGAUCAGUAGGUAUGGGGGUGCACAUGCUCUUGAGGACACAGCAGCUGUCACAUCAGGGAACCCGACUCCAGAACCCUCUGUAAAUAUCCCAUGGCUUGGCCCUGCCCAUCACCCCACCCAGGCCUCCUCAAAUGAGGAGCUAAAGCUGGCCCAUGGGGCCAAAGU